AUUGAACGCUGGCGGCAUGCCUUACACAUGCAAGUCGAACGGCAGCACGGGUGCUUGCACCUGGUGGCGAGUGGCGAACGGGUGAGUAAUACAUCGGAACAUGUCCUGUAGUGGGGGAUAGCCCGGCGAAAGCCGGAUUAAUACCGCAUACGAUCUACGGAUGAAAGCGGGGGACCUUCGGGCCUCGCGCUAUAGGGUUGGCCGAUGGCUGAUUAGCUAGUUGGUGGGGUAAAGACCUACCAAGGCGACGAUCAGUAGCUGGUCUGAGAGGACGACCAGCCACACUGGGACUGAGACACGGCCCAGACUCCUACGGGAGGCAGCAGUGGGGAAUUUUGGACAAUGGGCGAAAGCCUGAUCCAGCAAUGCCGCGUGUGUGAAGAAGGCCUUCGGGUUGUAAAGCACUUUUGUCCGGAAAGAAAUCCUUGGCCCUAAUACGGUCGGGGGAUGACGGUACCGGAAGAAUAAGCACCGGCUAACUACGUG
rnacentral:rRNA from 1 species